AAUAAAUCCACUAAAAUCCGCACAUAUACCGUCACAAAGGUCAGGGUGCUCUGUUAAGUCAGGGUUGAUCGAUGGGGUAUAUGGAGGCCUAAC
rnacentral:sRNA from 21 species